ensembl:ncRNA lncRNA:CR44808 long non-coding RNA:CR44808
AGUUCAUUUCAAAAUUAAAAAAAAAAUGAAACGAGCAUGUUGUGGUGCUUUCAAAUCAACCCGAAACUAAUGUGCCAACAUCAAAGGCAAACAAAUUCAAGUGCAUUGAGCCCGCAACAAAUCAAAGACGCCUGGACGACCUUCCACUCACUAUUCUGCAGGACUUUUCCUCCCAGCUGCCAUUUCCCUCAGCCAUACAUCAAAGCAAUCAAAUGGACCCAAGUGUAUCUAUCAAGGCGAUAAGUAACACGAAAAGAAAUUCAAAUCCCACUCAAAAGAGGCGGCAACCGGGUGAUAAAACAAGGACAUCGCAUCCC